GCGCGGGUAGCUCAGUGGCAGAGCUCCUGCUUUACACGCAGGCUGUCGCAGGUUCGACCCCUGUCCCGCGCA
rnacentral:tRNA from 1 species